rnacentral:rRNA from 1 species
ACACUCCUACGGGAGGCAGCAGUGGGGAAUUUUGGACAAUGGGCGAAAGCCUGAUCCAGCCAUGCCGCGUGCAGGAUGAAGGCCUUCGGGUUGUAAACUGCUUUUGUACGGAACGAAACGGCCUUUUCUAAUAAAGAGGGCUAAUGACGGUACCGUAAGAAUAAGCACCGGCUAACUACGUGCCAGCAGCCGCGGUAAUACGUAGGGUGCAAGCGUCAAUCGGAAUUACUGGGCGUAAAGCGUGCGCAGGCGGUUAUGUAAGACAGUUGUGAAAUCCCCGGGCUCAACCUGGGAACUGCAUCUGUGACUGCAUAGCUAGAGUACGGUAGAGGGGGAUGGAAUUCCGCGUGUAGCAGUGAAAUGCGUAGAUAUGCGGAGGAACACCGAUGGCGAAGGCAAUCCCCUGGACCUGUACUGACGCUCAUGCACGAAAGCGUGGGGAGCAAACAGGAUUAGAAACCCCGGUAGUCCCAUGAU